GCCCGGGUGGCCGAGUGGCGAGGCAACCGGCUGCAGACCGGUCUACGGGGGUUCGAAUCCCUCCCCGGGCU
rnacentral:tRNA from 1 species